UAUAGAUGGAUCCGCGCUGCAUUAGCUAGUUGGUAAGGUAACGGCUUACCAAGGCAACGAUGCAUAGCCGACCUGAGAGGGUGAUCGGCCACACUGGAACUGAGACACGGUCCAGACUCCUACGGGAGGCAGCAGUAGGGAAUCUUCCGCAAUGGGCGAAAGCCUGACGGAGCAACGCCGCGUGAGUGAUGAAGGUCUUCGGAUCGUAAAACUCUGUUAUUAGGGAAGAACAUAUGUGUAAGUAACUGUGCACAUCUUGACGGUACCUAAUCAGAAAGCCACGGCUAACUACGUGCCAGCAGCCGCGGUAAUACGUAGGUGGCAAGCGUUAUCCGGAAUUAUUGGGCGUAAAGCGCGCGUAGGCGGUUUUUUAAGUCUGAUGUGAAAGCCCACGGCUCAACCGUGGAGGGUCAUUGGAAACUGGAAAACUUGAGUGCAGAAGAGGAAAGUGGAAUUCCAUGUGUAGCGGUGAAAUGCGCAGAGAUAUGGAGGAACACCAGUGGCGAAGGCGACUUUCUGGUCUGUAACUGACGCUGAUGUGCGAAAGCGUGGGGAUCAAACAGGAUUAGAUACCCUGGUAGUCCACGCCGUAAACGA
rnacentral:rRNA from 1 species